GAAGCAGCCACCCUUUAAAGAAAGCGUAAUAGCUCACUAGUCGAGUCGGCCUGCGCGGAAGAUGUAACGGGGCUAAAACUAUGUGCCGAAGCUGCGGAUUUGACAUUAGUCAAGUGGUAGGGGAGCGUUCUGUAAGCCGAUGAAGGUGUAUUGAGAAGUAUGCUGGAGGUAUCAGAAGUGCGAAUGCUGACGUGAGUAACGACAAAACGGGUGAAAAACCCGUUCGCCGAAAGACCAAGGGUUCCAGUCCAACGUUAANUCGGGGCUGGGUGAGUCGACCCCUAAGGCGAGGCCGAAAGGCGUAGUCGAUGGGAAAAUGGUUAAUAUUCCAUUACUUCUGUGUAAUGCGAUGAGAGGACGGAGAAGGCUAAAUCAGCCUGGCGUUGGUUGUCCAGGUGAAAGGAUGUAGGCAUGUAUCUUAGGCAAAUCCGGGGUACUCUAUGCUGAGAUCUGAUAGCAAGCUGUACUUGUACAGCGAAGUGGUUGAUGCCAUGCUUCCAGGAAAAGUCUCUAAGCUUCAGUUACACAGGAAUCGUACCCGAAACCGACACAGGUGGUCAGGUCGAGUAGACCAAGGCGCUUGAGAGAACUCUGCUGAAGGAACUAGGCAAAAUGGUACCGUAACUUCGGGAGAAGGUACGCUGUUGUUGGUGAUGGAACUCGCUUCCUGAGCUGACGACAGCCGCAGAAACCAGGCCGCUGCAACUGUUUAUUAAAAACAUAGCACUCUGCAAACACGAAAGUGGACGUAUAGGGUGUGAUGCCUGCCCGGUGCUGGAAGGUUAAUUGAUGGGGUUAGCGUAAGCGAAGCUCUUGAUCGAAGCCCCAGUAAACGGCGGCCGUAACUAUAACGGUCCUAAGGUAGCGAAAUUCCUUGUCGGGUAAGUUCCGACCUGCACGAAUGGCAUAAUGAUGGCGGCGCUGUCUCCAGCAGAGGCUCAGUGAAAUCGAAAUCGCUGUGAAGAUGCAGUGUACCCGCGGCUAGACGGAAAGACCCCGUGAACCUUUACUGCAGCUUGACACUGAACUUUGACCUUACUUGUGUAGGAUAGGUGGGAGGCUUUGAAGCUGGAACGCUAGUUCCAGUGGAGCCGUCCUUGAAAUACCACCCUGGUAAUGUUGAGGUUCUAACUCUGUCCCGUGAUCCGGGACGAGGACCGUGUCUGGUGGGUAGUUUGACUGGGGCGGUCUCCUCCUAAAGAGUAACGGAGGAGUACGAAGGUGCGCUCAGCGUGGUCGGAAAUCACGCGUAGAGUAUAAAGGCAAAAGCGCGCUUAACUGCGAGACCCACAAGUCGAGCAGGUACGAAAGUAGGUCUUAGUGAUCCGGUGGUUCUGUAUGGAAGGGCCAUCGCUCAACGGAUAAAAGGUACUCUGGGGAUAACAGGCUGAUACCGCCCAAGAGUUCAUAUCGACGGCGGUGUUUGGCACCUCGAUGUCGGCUCAUCUCAUCCUGGGGCUGAAGCAGGUCCCAAGGGUAUGGCUGUUCGCCAUUUAAAGAGGUACGCGAGCUGGGUUUAGAACGUCGUGAGACAGUUCGGUCCCUAUCUACCGUGGGCGCUGGAAAUUUGAGAGGAUCUGCUCCUAGUACGAGAGGACCAGAGUGGACGAACCUCUGGUGUACCGGUUGUGACGCCAGUCGCAUCGCCGGGUAGCUAUGUUCGGAAGGGAUAACCGCUGAAAGCAUCUAAGCGGGAAGCCUACCUCAAGAUAAGAUUUCCCUAGGACUUUAUGUCCUCUAAAGAGCCGUUCGAGACUAGGACGUUGAUAGGUUGGAUGUGGAAGCAUAGUGAUAUGUGAAGCUGACCAAUACUAAUUGCUCGUGAGGCUUGACUAUACAACACCCAAGCAGUUG
rnacentral:rRNA from 1 species